rnacentral:lncRNA from 1 species
GCUCUUCCAGCAUCAUCCGCACGGAGCGCUCCUUGUCCAGCUGUUGUCGCAGCUCGAUCAUCUCUCUCCUAAGGUCCUCAGCCUUCUCAUCCUCCCAGAUGUCGGGUGAGCCAAUGCCCUCAUCCUUGUCUUCCGCCCGCCGCCGCUUCGGGGAUGAGCCACUCAGCUCCUGCGGAACCCAAGAGGUUGGAGUCUAGUCUUCUCCUGUUCAAGAGAGAAGAUGUAUUCUGC